AAACCAACAGGGAUUGCCUCAGAAACGGCGAGUGAAGCGGCAAAAAGCUCAAAUUUGAAAUCCCCCCGGGGAAUUGUAAUUUGAAGAUUGUGUUUUGGAAACGACCGUGUCUAUGUUCCUUGGAACAGGACGUCACAGAGGGUGAGAAUCCCGUGCGGCACGGCCACCGUUUCCUUAUAAAACACUCUCGACGAGUCGAGUUGUUUGGGAAUGCAGCUCAAAGUGGGUGGUAAACUCCAUCUAAAGCUAAAUACAGGCGAGAGACCGAUAGCGAACAAGUACAGUGAUGGAAAGAUGAAAAGCACUUUGAAAAGAGAGUGAAACAGUACGUGAAAUUGUUGAAAGGGAAGGGCAUGCUGUCAGAUUGUCAGUGUGGGUAAGAAGCGGGGUACAAAGACUGUGGAACGUGGCCCUCGGGUGUUAUAGCCACAGUUCAUCCCCCGUCUCUUUCCGAGGCCUGCUUUGAGGACACCGACGUAAUGACGGUACGCCGCCCGUCUUGAAACACGGA
rnacentral:rRNA from 1 species